GAUGAACGCUGGCGGUGUGCUUAACACAUGCAAGUCGAACGGCAAGGCCCUGCUUUCUUGCUCUUCUCGGGUGGCGAUCGGGUGCGUAACACGUGUGUAUCCUGCUCUUCUCUUUCGUAUAACUUCAGGUAACUGGAGCUACGACCAUAUAGCAUCCCCCGUUCCAUGGUGGGCGUUGGAUCGUCUCGGCGGGUGGGGAUGGAUUCGCGGCUUAUCGGCUUGUUGGUGGGGUAGUGGCUUACCAAGCCUUGGACGGGUAGGCGGCCUGUGAGGGUGACCGGCGACAAUGGGACUGAGAUACGGACCAGACGCGUACAGGAGGCAGCAGGGGGGAAUAUGGCACAAUGAGCGGGAGCCUGAGACAGAGACGCCGCGUGCGGAAUGACGGCCUUCGGGGAGUGAAAAGCUGUAGCCUGUGACGAAGCGUGAGUGACGGUAAUGAGUAAAGAAGCACCGGCUAACUACGUG
rnacentral:rRNA from 1 species